rnacentral:pre_miRNA from 1 species
GGAGGGCCUGCUCCAAAGUCCACUGCAGUCGGUGGGAGUCUUCCCAUUGACUUCACUGAGCUUUGGAGCAGGCCCUAAUUCU